rnacentral:rRNA from 1 species
AGUGAACGCUGGCGGUAGGCCUAACACAUGCAAGUCGAACGGCAGCACAGUAAGAGCUUGCUCUUACGGGUGGCGAGUGGCGGACGGGUGAGGAAUACAUCGGAAUCUACUUUUUCGUGGGGGAUAACGUAGGGAAACUUACGCUAAUACCGCAUACGACCUACGGGUGAAAGCAGGGGAUCUUCGGACCUUGCGCGAUUGAAUGAGCCGAUGUCGGAUUAGCUAGUUGGCGGGGUAAAGGCCCACCAAGGCGACGAUCCGUAGCUGGUCUGAGAGGAUGAUCAGCCACACUGGAACUGAGACACGGUCCAGACUCCUACGGGAGGCAGCAGUGGGGAAUAUUGGACAAUGGGCGAAAGCCUGAUCCAGCCAUACCGCGUGGGUGAAGAAGGCCUUCGGGUUGUAAAGCCCUUUUGUUGGGAAAGAAAAGCAGCAGGUUAAUACCCCGCUGUUCUGACGGUACCCAAAGAGUAAGCACCGGCUAACUUCGUG